rnacentral:rRNA from 1 species
UACGGAGGGGGCUAGCGUUGUUCGGAUUUACUGGGCGUAAAGGGCGCGUAGGCGGCGUGGUAAGUCACUUGUGAAAUCUCUGAGCUUAACUCAGAACGGUCAAGUGAUACUGCUGUGCUAGAGUGCGGAAGGGGCAAUCGGAAUUCUUGGUGUAGCGGUGAAAUGCGUAGAUAUCAAGAGGAACACCUGAGGUGAAGACGGGUUGCUGGGCCGACACUGACGCUGAUGCGCGAAAGCCAGGGGAGCAAACGGG